rnacentral:rRNA from 1 species
CCUACGGGUGGCAGCAGUGAGGAAUAUUGGUCAAUGGACGAGAGUCUGAACCAGCCAAGUAGCGUGAAGGAUGGCUGCCCUAUGGGUUGUAAACUUCUUUUAUAUGGGAAUAAAAUGUUCCACGUGUGGGAUUUUGUAUGUACCAUAUGAAUAAGGAUCGGCUAACUCCGUGCCAGCAGCCGCGGUAAUACGGAGGAUCCGAGCGUUAUCCGGAUUUAUUGGGUUUAAAGGGAGCGUAGGUGGAUUGUUAAGUCAGUUGUGAAAGUUUGCGGCUCAACCGUAAAAUUGCAGUUGAAACUGGCAGUCUUGAGUACAGUAGAGGUGGGCGGAAUUCGUGGUGUAGCGGUGAAAUGCUUAGAUAUCACGAAGAACUCCGAUUGCGAAGGCAGUUCACUGGACUGCAACUGACACUGAGGCUCGAAAGUGUGGGUAUCAAACAGGAUUAGAUACCCUAGUAGUC